rnacentral:rRNA from 1 species
AUUGAACGCUGGCGGCAGGCCUAACACAUGCAAGUCGAGCGGAUGAGAGGAGCUUGCUCCUUGAUUCAGCGGCGGACGGGUGAGUAAUGCCUAGGAAUCUGCCUGGUAGUGGGGGACAACGUUUCGAAAGGAACGCUAAUACCGCAUACGUCCUACGGGAGAAAGCAGGGGACCUUCGGGCCUUGCGCUAUCAGAUGAGCCUAGGUCGGAUUCGCUAGUAGGUGGGGUAAUGGCCCACCUAGGCGACUAUCCGUAACUGGGCUGACAGGAUGGUCAGUCACACUGGAACUUAGACGCGGUCCAGACUCCUACGGGGGGCAGCAGUGGGGAAUAUUUGGCAAUGGGCGAAAGCCUGAUCCAGCCAUGCCGCGUGUGUGAAGAAGGUCUUCGGAUUGUAAAGCACUUUAAGUUGGGAGGAAGGGCAGUUAGUUAAUACCUGACUGUUUUGACGUUACCGACAGAAUAAGCACCGGCUAACUUCGUGCCAGCCGCCGCGGUAACAC